UAAUAUUUUUGAGAAAAAAUCUAAUACAUUUACAUUUUGAUUUAAAAGUAUUAUAUUUACCCAUAUAUGUAACAAACACUUGCCAACAUUACUUAU